UCCGUGGGAGAGGAAGUUGAGUUUCCAUAUCAUGUACUUGGACAAUGAUGAGCUUUAUAAUUACUAUGUAGUAACUCGUGUUGUCGACAGUAUGACAGACAACCUCUGAGCAACACGAAGCAACUGAUAUGGCUAAUGCUGUAUUAGAUGGUGUUGACUCAAUUCUUCCGGGUGCUGAGACUCUUAGAGGAUUGUACCCUACUGAAACCAUUUCCACUGUUCGUCGAAUUUGUGCAGAGGUUAUGCUAGAUACAGUAGGCCCUGAAUUGCAAGUCGUUAAUAAAAGUGAAAAAACGAUUGCACUAGAGGCUGAAUCUUUGGUUCUUUCGACUCCGGAUCAAGAUAAAGAAGCAACUUCAGAUCUCUUGCCAAUCAGUUAUGUUGGAUUAGCAAAGGUACCUGUUGGGUGAAAGAGGUAAAUGUGGUUUGCAUAGUGAAGAAUUCUGCGAUACUAUCUGGGACAUUGUUCACUUUGCACGUCUAUCUAUCUCCCUACCCAAACUGACAAAGAUAAAGAAGUUAUACGCACCUGGGGUGUUCAAAACAAAAUGGAAUUUCUCCCCCUAUCGGAUACAUUCAGAGGAUGUUUGUCAAUAGGCUCGUGGGUUCUUGUCUACUCUGGGUCAACUUAGUCAGCCUCAGAUUUUCGCUAAGAUUGGGA